rnacentral:rRNA from 1 species
AAAAUAAUACUUUGCUCUCUAGAUUUCUUUUACAAUAAUAUGUUUCUCAUAUUAUAUAAAAGAAAGAGAAAUAGGAAUUAUUACAUAAUUCCAAACUAAAUAUAUUUUAGUUACAAUUUCUCGCUGAAUAAAAAUUUAUUUUCAUUCAUUUUCUAGAGUAAUAAAAAAAAGGAUCUAUGAUUCUUUUAACAAAGU